CCCGCCUAUUCAGCAGCGAGGGCUUGGAAGUUAGCACGGUGAGGGGGUGCGCGGCGUCACUGAGGGACUCGGGCAGGCUGAGGGCUUUUUUUCCUCAAAACUGUGAAGCUCAGGGAAAGGAGAAGAAGUGGGAACCAAGUAAAGUAAAAUCGUGGCAAGUGGGCAUAGUUCUAAAAUCUCCUUCGUGAGGCCCUUCCAGUGGGGAACCCAGAACGUGCAGCUCAAUGUAUGUUUGGAAUGAAUAGGUGAAAGGAAGCAGGAGGAAGAGGGAGUUCUAGCGAAGACUCCGGAGGGAAGCAACCCAUCCCCCGCCUCAAGAAAGCACCGCCACUCCAGUGGGAACGGACACGCGUGCACAUGGCCACGAGUGAGGAGAGAAUACAGCAGUUUCAAGGACAAUGGAUUCGUACCACUGCUCCUCACUCAAUAAACAGCAGAGACAGAAUUUGAACACGGAGUCUUGCCCUGUCGCCCAGGCUGGAGUGCAGUGGCGCGAUCUCGGCUCACUGCAAGCUCCACCUCCCGGGUUCACGCCAUUCUCCUGCCUCAGGCUCUCCAAGUAGCUGGGACUACAGGCGCCCGCCACCACGCCCGGCUAAUUUUUUGUGUUUUUAGUAGAGACGGGGUUUCACUGUGGUCUUGAUCUCCUGACCUCGUGAUCCGCCCGGCUCGGCCUCCCAAAGUGCUGGGAUUACAAGCGUGAGCCACCGCGCCUGGCCAGCCUAAGGGCUGAUAUCACAAGUAGCAGAUAAAUUGAAGGAAAGGAAUCCCAAAAGAAGAAAAAGACUGUGUUCUGCUCCUCACUUAAAACUCAGCAAAAGGGACCCCCACCAAAUGGCCCAUGCCAAUAUGUAACACAGAAAGGAAAACCAACAGCAUGGGCCUCUUGGCUUGGAGGAAGCCAAAGUGCACCUUUCUUCAGUCAUACUACAUCUGGGUUCAUCUAGCCACCUCUGCCAUGCUGCCCAAGUUCAACCCCAAUGAGAUGAGUCAUAUACCUGCCAGGUGCCCUGGUGGAAAAUUGGGUACCAUGUCUGCCCUAUCUCUUAAGAUCAACGCUCUGGACCUGUCUCCAAAAUAAGUUGGUAAUGACAUUGCCAAGGCCACAGGUCACCAGAAGAGUGAGUCAAAGGAUUACAAUGAAACUGACCAUUCAGAACAGACAGGCUCAGACUGGGGUGGCACUUUCUGCCUCUGCCAUGAGCAUCAAAGCCCUCAAGGAACCAGAGACAGAGAGAAGCAAAAUAAUCAAGCACAGUGGAAAUGCCAUGUUUCAUGACACUGUCAAGAAUGCAUGACAGAUGCAGCACCAAUCCUUAGUCACAGAACUCUCUGGGACCUGUAAAGAGAUCUUGGAGACUGCCCACUCUAUAAGCUGCAAUGUUGAUGGGUGCCAGCCUCCUGACAUCAUAGAUGACAUCAGAUCAACAGUGGUGCAAGUAAAUAUCCAGCUAGCUAUGAACUAUGAAGGAAAAAAUUUCAAUAAGGGAUCAUUUGACAACUAAAAAUGAAAACACAGCAUGGUUAUGAGACAUAGGGUCUGCAUGAGUGCCUUUGUGCCUCCUUGAAAAAGCCGGUUUCCCCAUGCACAGAUGUCAGUAAUACAAGUCAACCAGGUAUCCAGAGACAUUGCUAAAAAAUGUCAAUACCAAAUCUAAUCAUAGCAUAACGACCAGUGUAUACAAAUCUAAAGCCCACUUUCUCCUGCUCACACCUAAAGCUCACUUUCUCACAACACUGCCACCCCAAUAUACCAAGAAACCAUCUAGAAAGGAGGGCAGACAACAAUAGCCACUUGCCUUUAAAAACAAAACCAAACUCUUUACACCAAAACUUCUUUCAUAUCCAAAGAGUCUAAAAUACAGUUAGUGAUGAAUGUGGAUGUGGAACCAAUGAGUAAGAAAACAGUGAAAACAGUUGUAGAAAACAAGUGAAGCCACAUUUACUUUGCACAACCAAAUGUAGUUAGCUAAGUUUUUGACCCCAUUAUAUGAAGAAGACAAUUCAUCCGUAACUCUACCAUGCUAAACCUACAUUACUUCUUUUUUUUUUUUUUUGGGAGUUUCGCUUUGUGGUCCAGGCUGGGGCACAGUGGGGCAAUCUUGGCUCACUGCAACCUCCGCCUCCUGGGUUCAAGCAAUUCUCAUGCCUCAGCCUCCUGAGUAACUGGGAUUACAGCUGCCCAUAGAUUUUUAAAAUAUUUCUCUUUCACUUGUCUUGCAUAGGCAUGAUUAUUGCAAAUAACUGCAAUACAUAUCAGUCACAAUUUUAUAUCAUGCUCUGUAAAAUUCAUCAAAAUUCCUUUUCCAUGCUGCUGUGUGUUCUUCCUGGUUACCAAUGUUUAUAGAUGCAUAAGCUAUUAGUCAAAACUCUUGUAAUUGCAAGUAACAUAAAGCCAAUUCCAACUCAACUAAAGAAAAUGGGGAUUUAAUGGAAGAACGCUGGAGUUGCUCCUUGACCUACAAGAACCAGGCAGCCCUGGGGGCCUAAAUGCAGGGGACAGGGGCUUGAAGUCACCAGAGUUCUUCACUGCUCAUUUUUUCCUACAGAUAUCUCCACAUAAAUGUAUCAGGCAUUUAGCCAUGUUAGGUCAUUUUCAUUAGCCACAUUUUCCAAAUGGGGAAGGAGGGGCUAAGGCAGUUAGAUGACUCACUGCAGGUGAUUCAGCUGCUAAAUGGCAUUGACUUGAAAACCAGCAUCUUGAUUUAGAUUGGUGGAUCCAUACAAAUUGCAAGGGACAAAACUUUUCAAAAGUAUUUAAGAAUAGUCACAUAGGAUAAGAAUAUAUUUGAUUUUUGUGAGGACUGCACCUGAAGGAGAAGAGAAACAUGCAAAUGGGGUUCCAUUCCCCACACUAGGGCAGCUUCUGUCGUCUCAGAAUGCCCACCUGGCAUCUUCCUGACCCUUGGCUCACCCACAAGGAAGUUCAUGGCAAUAUUGUUUUCAGAAGCCAAUAUUCUCCUGUCUCUACUUGCAAGAAAAUAACUGGGCCCCCUAGGAAGUAUAAUUGGUGCGAACCGUGAUUUAUUAUACACCCAGUUCUCCAGAUGGCCUUUCAUAUGGAAAUGAUUUUUCCUGAAAACAGAAAAAUGUGGGUUUUUUCCCGCCUCAGCAGGUUAUAACAGGUUUACAAUCCACUGCAUCAAAACUAGAAUCAAAAACUUUAAUGGAGUUCCCUUAAAACAGAAACACAAAAAACACGUUCCAUCUGGUAAAUAAUUGCCGGAGUUGCAUUCCUGUGCAUUCAGGCACAAGCUAACUGCUGUACAGCAUAAAGCUGUGAAAAUGUCUAGGCUUAAUGGGGAAACAUGAGAUAAGAUCUACUUAGGUCUAUCAUAUACCCAAAUUGUAACCUUCUGGGAUGCUGGUUCAUGCCAGACUCUCAAAUCACCCAUAAUCUGAUGAGCUAGACAGAUGUGUAAGAUUAUUCCAGGAUAUCUGAAAAUCUCACAUGUGAGUACAAAAGGCUAGGUGGACACGUGCAGCCCUUAUUCUAUAUGAAUGAAGGGGAAUGUUUACCAAAAAGGUCGUUUUCAGAUGACCAUAGUUGAAGAACAAAGUCAAAUGUGGUUCUAAAUUCCAUGUCCUCUGCCUAAAUAACAGAUGAGAAAGUAUGUCUAAAAAGGCUUAUGUCAUCCUGUGAGGGAAUACUUAAGAAUGGGGAAAGCAUUUAGCAGUAAAAAGUAAAUUACCAAAAGGGUUUAAUGUAGUUAGUAUGUAGCAGGUUAAUUUCAGUAGAUGACUCUAAGUUACGAUUUUCAUCCAGAAAGAAUUAUUUUAGUCAGCUUUCCACCAGUGGAACAUACUUCCUCAUAAGCUCCCUGCCUCUGAAAGCAUAGGCAGGGGAGCCAUGUAUUAGAGAUGUUGUGGGGAAGAUCUACACUUUUGGAAAGCUGAAGAUCUACAAAUUAGGGAUCACACUCAAAUUCCUUAAGGGGUUGGGCAGAUAAAUUGUGUAAAAUGGUAAGGCAUUAGAAAGUGGACCAAACUGCAGAGGACUGGGGAGGCACAGCCUACCUAAAGACAUUCAAAUUUGGUACAGAUGCUUCUUGGCUUACCAUGGGGCUACUGUGUUCCAAUAAACCCAUCUAAGUAAAAAACGCAUUUAAUAUACCUAACCUACCAAACAUCACAGCCUAGCCUAGCCUACCUUACGCAUGCUCAGAACACUUACAUUAGACUUCAAUUGGGCUACAUCAUCUAACACAAUGCCUAUUUUAUAAUAAAGUGUAGAAUAUCUCAUGUAAUUUAUUGAAUACUGGACUGGAAGUGGAAAACAAUGAUUAUAUGGUACUGAUAUAUUCAGUUUCUGCUGAAUGUGUAUGGCUUUCACGCUAUCAUAAAGUUGAGUAAUUAUAAGUCAAACUAUUGUAAAUUAGAGACUGUCUGUAUUUAAAAACAAAACAAACAAACUCCAAAAACAAAAAUAGACUGGUCUGGCCAAAUAGACCACUUUGGAAGGAUUUGGCCUAUGAAUCAAGAGGAUAUUUGCCGCUCCUGGACUGGCAGAUCCUUAAGCCUUCUUUGCGUGCUGAGUUCUGUGAUGUGUAUAAAAAUAAUGCACUUUUAUCUAAUAAGAGCCAAACACAUUAACCUCUGUGGUAGGAGAAAGUGGAGUUGAAUAGAAGUAGAGAAUGUGGUCUCCAUCCUCAGAAAACUCAAAAAUACUUUAAAAUAAGGUAUGUCCAUACAACGGCAGCCAUCAAUGGCGGGCAAAAAGCGUAUGGCGGCUCAGAGGAAGCAUUUCUAACUUCGAUCUAGAUGGGUUCAGAAAGAGCCACAGAAUAGGCAAGGCUUGAGUGGGGCUUAAAAGAACAAAUAGGUCUGACAUAGUGGCUCACACCUCGAUCCCUACUCGGGAGCAUCGUUUGAGCCCAGGAGGUUAAGGCUGCAGUGAGUGAGCUAUGAUCACACCACUGCCCUCCAGCCUGGUUGACAAAGCAAGACCCUGUCUCUAAAAAAAAAAAAAAAAAAAAGGAUGAACGUUCAGCUAAAUGGAGAGUGUAGAGGAGGAUAGAGUUGUUAGGUAGUCAUAGGACAAACAAGAAGCCCAGGGGCGAGGAGGAGGGUCAUGCUUGGAUCCUUCUGAACCUCUCAACUUCUUCCUCAGAUCCCAAAAUUGGCUUCCCGCCACCUAUUCUGUCCUGAGCCUCCUCCUCAGCCUCUGGACCUCUCCCUUCUUAUGAACUAAAAGCUUUCUUAGGGUCGCAGUUCCCACAGCUUGGCCCUACCACCUGCAGUCAGAGCCCUUAGCAUUCCCCAUGUAUUCAUCUGGUCCGUAUCCCAGCCCCACUGCCUGUUUGCAGACUUGUCAACACAGUCAUUGGGCUACCUCUUGGACAAUCACCCUUGAUGCUAAAUCACCCAAGCAAAUUAAUUGAAUUUUCAAGUGACGAGGGUAAUCCUAAGCACUUGAUGAUCAGAAGUGCGGGGGCACAAACUAUUUUCGGAAUUCGGAUUUGUCUUUAUUAUGUGGUGUACACCUUUGUUAGGGUACUAAGUGCCAUCAAUAAAUAGCUAGCAACAAUUGAUUGCUUACAACGUGCCAGAAUCUGUGCUGAGCCCAGUGCAUGCAUGCCCUGCGUCGCCAACUGAACCUCCAAAAUGGGGCACGUUAUUUUCCCCUUUCUCGAGAUGGGUAAACUGAGGCUCAGAGGGGUUAAAUAGCACAUGCAAAGUCAUACAACUAACAGGGGCAUGGAUUCAAACCCAAGUCUUCUGUCUCCAAAAACUGACUACAAUCACAUGUGGUUGACGGUUAUCACUGCAUGUGCUUGUACCAUUCAUAUGGAUGUGUAAAUGUACACUCAACGUCACACAGUCACCUGCUGGCCUAUCAUUGGAUGUAAGCAGCUGCCAUCUCCCAAACAACACACCAAUUUGAUGUGUGAAUUUGUUUCACUGACUCUUCAGACACAGUAGUCCCCCCUUAUCGAAGGUCCAAAUACAUGAAACAGAAAAUUCCAGAAAUAAACAAUUCAUAAAUUUCAA